UACGUAGGGUGCAGGCGUUAAUCGGAAUUACUGGGUGUAAAGCGUGCGCAGGCGGUUUGCUAAGAGAGAUGUGAAAUCCCCGGGCUUAACCUGGGAACUGCGUUUCUAACUGGCAGGCUUGAGUGUGGCAGAGGGGGGUGGAAUUCCACGUGUAGCAGUGAAAUGCGUAGAUAUGUGGAGGAACACCGAUGGCGAAGGCAGCCCCCUGGGCUAACACUGACGCUCAUGCACGAAAGCGUGGGGAGCAAACAGG
rnacentral:rRNA from 1 species